rnacentral:rRNA from 1 species
AGUAUUAGAUAUGAUCUUGAAACUCAAAGAAUUUGGCGGUGUUUUAGUCUUUUCAGAGGAAUCUGUCCCGUAAUCGAUAAUUCACGUUUAUUUUACUUGGUUUUGUAAUUUUGCAGUAUGUAUACCGCCGUCAUAAGAUUAUCUUUUUAGAGUAUAAAUUUUCUUGGUUUUUAAUUAAGAGUUAUGUCAGGUCAAGGUGCAGUUUAUAAUUAAGUGGAGAUGGAUUACAAUAAAUUUAUUUAUAUUUUACGAAUUUUUAAUUGAAAUAUUGGAAUGAAGGUGGAUUUGAAAGUAAUUUUAUUUAUUAUAUUAAUUUGAUUUUGGCUCUAAAGCAUGU